rnacentral:lncRNA from 1 species
CAAAAUGCAAAAAAUUCGGGUCCAGUGUUCAGUGGGCGGCGACGGCGGUUCUCUAAGGUCGACUCCGGCGGAAGGAUUUGGACCUCGCCACCAUCGUUGAUUCGUCGGAUCCGCGGUCCAGAGGAGAAGGCCUGAGCCAAGUGCAUGAUUGACAUAAAGGACAAUGUUCCAUGAGUGGGAGGUGCCGAGCUGGUGAAGUUUCAGUGCCCUUCUUACAAGAUAAGCGAAUUAUUGUUGGCCACCUAUUUAUAGUUUCUGUUUCUUCUAGUUGUAGUUCUUGAGAAGGCUCUUAGAUAUAUAUUCUUUAAGUUUAGUGCAUUUAUCCGGAUAUUCACAAAUUCAAUUUGUAAUUGAAUUCACCAAUCAAUCACCACUGUAUCUUCAGAGAAAGACAUCCCCGCACACAUACAAUGAAGAGAAAUUGUCUAAGUUAGUGACUCUCAGCUAGGGCUAGAAACGAGCCGAGCUCGGCUCGGUGCGGCUUGGUGCCUGAACGAGCUGGG